rnacentral:rRNA from 1 species
GACGAACGCUGGCGGCGUGCCUAAUACAUGCAAGUCGAGCGAAUGACGAGAAGCUUGCUUCUCUGAUUUAGCGGCGGACGGGUGAGUAACACGUGGGCAACCUGCCCUACAGAUCGGGAUAACUCAGGGAAACCUGGGCUAAUACCGGAUAAUCCUUCGAAUCACAUGUUUUGAAGUUGAAAGGCGCUUCGGCGUCACUGUAGGAUGGGCCCGCGGUGCAUUAGCUAGUUGGUGGGGUAACGGCCUACCAAGGCAACGAUGCAUAGCCGACCCGGGAGGGUGAUCGGCCACAUUGGGACUGGGACACGGCCCAAACUCCUACGGGAGGCAGCAGUAGGGAAUCUUCCGCAAUGGACGAAAGUCUGAUGGAGCAACGCCGCGUGAGUGAUGAAGGUUUUCGGAUCGUAAAACUCUGUUGUAAGGGAAGAACAGCAGGUAGUUAAAUAAGCUACUUGUGUGACGGUACCUUAUUAGAAAGCCACGGCUAACUACGUGCCAGCCGCCGCGGUAA